GUGCUUACUUUGGCAGCACAUAUACUAAAACUGGAACAAUACAGAGAGGAUUAGCAUGGCCAUUGCACAAGGAUGGCAUGCAAAUUUGUGAAGCAUUCCGUAUUUUU
ensembl:snRNA U6 U6 spliceosomal RNA